UCAAAAUUUGCACAUCAUCCCGUUGAAAAAGCUGCAGAUUGCAGUAGAUGGAAGCUACCAUUACAAGGUUUUUAUAAGCUAAAUACAGAUGCUGGUUCACGUCCAGAUAAUAUGGUGGGGUUGGGAAUGAUAAUUCGAAAUGAUCAGGGUCAUGUUUUGAUGGCAGCAGCUAAAAGAAUUCAGGCGGCCUGGGAUGCAAGCAUGGCUGAAGUACAUGCAGUCAAGUUCGGGGUGUAGAUGGCUCUCGAAGCUGGUUUUAACUCCUUAAUUGUUGAAGGUGAGAAUCAGAGCACUAUAGCAGUUUUAAAUGGUCAAGAGCAGAUUUCUCCAUACGAUUUAUGCGUAGGUGAUGUGCCGCAUAUAUCUUCCAUGAUCGAGUGACUGAGGUUUCAAUAUGCUCCACGGACAGCCAAUCAGUUAGCUCAUCAAUUCGCAAAGCAGGCUUUUGUUAUUUCAGAUACUCUGCAAUCAUGGGUGGAGGACUGCCCUCCUUAUCUUUCCGCUGUGAUCGUAAUGAUAUUUCCCAUGUUUUUGAAUCUGGUUGAUCAAUGAAUUUGCG
rnacentral:misc_RNA from 1 species